AUAUAUAUAUAUAUAUAUAUAUAUAUAUAAGUUAACAACGUAUUCAUGUAACCCAUUACCAAAGCUUACGUAUCCAAACAUCAAAUCUUAAACAACCAACCAAAGUUCCUUUUUGCAUUAUCAGCAGAUGCGUAAUUUCGCCAUCUGGAUAGAGUACGUAAACAAAACUAUAAAUAAGUCACCAUACGGAAUAGUUUGGAUAAACAUCCAAGACUUAACGGAAACUUAAUAGGCCAUAUGGUCAACAUCAUUGAUUGACACUUUGUUUAUGCAUUCGCAACUCCCCAACCAUCGAAUCAUCGAUCCCAACAUAAGAAGGACCGUGACCGUGAAUCAUCACCGCAAACGGAUCAACAAAUGGAUCAACAAGCGAGGACAACGAAAGCAUUGUUCUUCGAAAUGAAAGCAGAGCACCAAUGAUGACUACGUGCGGGAAAUUGCAUCAGCCGAAUAGCACCACCGUGAGAGUAUGCUUUCAAGGUUAAGGCAUAGUUUAAGUUUAUAAAAACUAUUUGUCACCAAUAAAGUUUGUUCAGUCGCAUAGUUCAGCCGGAGAGUUUACUUGUUUGCAUUGACCAGUUAGUGUGUUAGUUCAAUUUUUCAGUGUUUAAAUUCAGUGUUUGAAUUGACGGAGCAUUCAAGUGUUUCAAUUCAGAUCAAUCAGUAAAUUUUAGUUUUUUAUCCUUUUUUUAAAAGUCCCCCAAUUAACUUGGGACGGAUAACUGGCGCAGUUUCGGUACUCGAACGGAAAGGUGAAAAGCAGUGAAAAACAGUGAACUUAAACGAAAAUUAAGUGUCAACGUUGGAGCUGCCACCUUCGACGAACCAUUGGAAGAAACCCCAACGAACAUGGGACCCUUUCUUCUACUCCUAAAACCAUCAUGGAGAGGCCGGCAAGCUUGCAGUAGCUUCGGAGGAUAAGUUGGGGACAACCAUCACAGCGGUACUGGAUGACAAGAGCGAAAUCCGGAGGAGGCACCAUCAGUCCGGUGAUCAGUGAGUUAAGGAAUUUGAGCAGCGUUAUCUCCUCCGGCUCCGCCUCGGCUACCUACCCCAUCGCGGUCAAAAUUAACGGCGUUAUUAGAAGUACAUUACCAGCGUACCCACUUCGACGACAGGUGUACCGCAUUGCGAACGGUCCCAGUAUCCGGACAUUUUUUUCCUAAAGAUAUCUCAGAAGCAUAUCCUUAGAAUGGGGCAACUGUACACAGGAUCAAGGAACAGAAAAACUUCGUGAGAAACAGUAUCCCCUGGAAUCACCGUCGUUCAACAACAUCCCCUCCUUCCUUGCCUCUUUCCGUGGCUGGAACCUAGGCCAGCCUAUGACACGACACUAUAUACAGUAGACAUAAGCACUGUUACCAGCAGCGGCAAAAGGAAAAAUGGCUACAAUUAUAUGUAUGUAGUUUGUAUUGCUUUGUUUUUUUUUAAUUCUUAAUCACUUAACCUAAUUUACAGCUCUAUUGUCCACUAGGGCACUACGUGAGCGAUUUCAAUUGACAGCUGCACCUACUGUAUUGUACAGCGCCUAGAUGUAUUCUAUUAUUCUUUAUCGAACUGGUUGCCUUUCUGCUGCUUUCACUUUUCUACUCUAUACAUGGUAUUGUUUAUCCGGUUGGAAUCAGGACAGACAUUCAAUCAAAAAUUGCCAUUUCCUUGGACCACAAGUGUCGCAUCUGUUUCGCAUCUAGUGCGCCGUGUCGCUGACAACAACGGGAAGGAUGCGCACUACUUUUAACAUGAUUCAAAAACGUCGCGAGUUGGGUCGCGUCGCGACUUGAUUGUGCGAAGUCCGGUUUGGUGGCGGCCCGACAAUAGAAAGAUGAGCACAAGGAUGAUGGAUAUUUAGUUUGUUUGUUUUUGUGUGUUUAUGGCUCGAAUAAUAAUGCCACUUUUGGAUGAUUGGGUCUUCGUGCUGUUGACCCCGAACAUCGUGAAGUUCGACGAAUUCUGCUUCAAGCCCAACUUAUCUGCUACGGACUGCGUCACCAAAUUGACUUGAGACCCAUUGUCCAAUAAUACUCGGCACGGAUGCCGCUGGUAGUUUUGGUCCAUUACGUCCACUACCGCACCGCCGUGAGCAGCAGCACUUGCUGCGAGUGGGUGGUCACGCUGGAACACGUAGCUGUCGUCGACGUUAAUGAUGAUGGUGAACCUUUUUGUUCUGGAACUGGCGGCGGGGCCAACUUGCUUGGGCUUUUUCUCGGCGUGAAGGAGACUAUGAUGCCGACGCUUACACUUCUGGCAGGAUUUGUCCGAUAAACAGUCAGCACUUCGAUGACCUCGUCGCAGGCAAUUAAAGCACACGUUACAUUCUCGCACCUUGACUAAUCUUUGCGGAACAGGAAGAGCUUUGAAAUCAGCGCACUGGUGAUUGGCGUGUGCUUUUCCGCAAAAAUCACACUUUGUUUCCUUUUCGCUUGACGAAACGACUAUUUAUUCGUCGUCAAUCAUAUUUAGACCAUUUGUUACAUUUAUGUUUUCUUAACCUAACAUUAUUUUUUUUAGUAACGAAUUACAUUCAAUUGUCUCUUAAGCUUAGCUUUCGACAUACCGAAGUCAAUGGACUCAUAUUGUUCAUUAUAUAUCCUCAUCAUUUGAUUUAUAGGUUCAAACAUGGCAUAGUUAGUACGAUAGUGAUUAGUAGAAAAAAUGCUGCGAUUUCGUAAUUAACGAGUAGGUGCAUAAAAAUUCAAUUUUGAUAAUUUUUUUUGUGAAUCAACUACGAUGUCAUUUAUGAAUGAAACCAUGGCGAAUUUUCGACGUUCUUUUAAUGUUUGGAUAUAUAACAGCUUGCACCGUGCUUCAUAAGGUGGCAGAGGCUGCCCACUUCUCCAACCCAGUUUGCGAAGAGCGAAUAAUAAAAACUGAUUUUGAACAGAUUCUAUUCGGCUGACGUGAUUAUCUGAAACUGGCGACCAUACUAUACAACAAUAUUCUAGUAUUGAACGAACAUAGGAAAUAUAUAAUGUUUUUAUUGUGUAUGGGUCGUAGAAAUUGUAACUGAAACGUUUUAUGAACCCAAGCAUCUUAUUGGCCUUGUUAAUGAUUGUAUUAUAAUGAUCUAUAAAUGUCACUUUAGAAUCUACUAAUACACCAAGGUCUCUUAUUCUUUCACAUUUUUGUACUGGUGCUUUACCAACUAAGCUACCGAGCCAAUUAAUGACCCGGCAACUUAGUUGUCAUAAGGUUCAAUUCUAAUCUCAUCGAUCUAUAUCAUCUUCCCCUAAACCGCAAAUAUAACGUAGUUACCCGUCGUAUCAAAUAGAAUGCGAACGACGCGUUUGAUCGCCUUCCAGGUAGCAUUGUUCUUCCUCUACAAGUGGUUGAGGAAGCGUUGCCUGUACGAUAGGCAAACAGUUUCAAACAAUAAACAAAUCGCUUUCGCUCUUCGUACAUAUGUACAACAGAGAUGGUUAUAUUUGCGGUUUAGGGGAAGAUGAUAUAGAUCGAUGAGAUUAGAAUUGAACCUUAUGACAACUAAGUUGCCGGGUCAUUAAUUGGCUCGGUAGCUUAGUUGAUAAAGCACUUGUCUAGCGAAUAAGGGUCGUGAGUUCAAAUCUCACCUGAGCUGUGGAUUUUUUCUUAAUUUAACCAAUAAUUUACCCAUCUGUACAUAUGUACGUUGAGUUAUUUGAAUUUCAUAAUUUGACCACACGGAUUGGUAUUACCGAAAAUUUGCACUUCAAGUGAGUCAUAUAUGAGAAUAUUAAUCUUACUAAGUAAGUAUAAAAGAAACAUCAUUGACAUACAAGAUAAACAAAAGUGGGCCUAAAUGAGAUCCUUGAGGAACUCCUGAAGUUACAUGUAUUGGACUUGAUUUAGCACUUUUGAAUUUAACUAUUUGUUGACGAUUCGUGAGGUAUGAUUCAACCCAUUUAAGAAGACCUUGUGCGAAUGCUAUUUUUUCCAAUUUAAAAAGUAGCAUGGGUAUAUCGAUACGGUCAAAAGCUUCACUGAAAUCUGUAUAGAUAGCCUCUACGUAGUUCCCAUUAUCCAUGUCAUUCAAUGAGUAGUUAAAAAAUUCCACCAGAUCUGUACUGGUGGAACGCCCUGUGGGCUUCGUGGCCGAGCGGUUAGCGGCGGCAGUCGUUUAGGUGUCUCGUUAGCCUCGGAGUGUGGGUUCGAUUCCCGCUCCAGUCGGGGAAAACUUUUCGUCGAACGGAAAAUUCUCUGGGUGUUAUAUGUGUUGUCCGUUGUCGAAUGUUUGUAAUGUUCAGUCUGUAGAGGCCCGUAAGGUCGAAGACGGUUAAAUUGUCUUUUUAAAAGAAGCCAUGUUGUUUAUGAAUUAUCCUGUUUUUGACUUGCUGAAAUAAAUUUCCAUUAAUUAUUGCUUCGAACAAAUUGGGAAUGCAUGAAAUAAUAGCAAUACCUCGGUAGUUACGCACGUCAGAUUUCUUGCCGCUUUUGAAUAUGGGUAUUAAGAAAGACUUUUUCCAUGUUGAUGGAAAAUUACCUGUUUUAAGUGAAGUGUUGAAAAGCCAAAACAAUGGCGCCGUCAUUUCCAUUGAUAAAGAUUUCAAAAAUAAAGGUAGGAUCCCGUCAGGUCCAGGUCCUUUAGAGGCAUCUAAAUUGUUGAAAGCAUCUGUAAUUUCAUGUACUUUAACUUGAUCAACGCGUAUGUUUCUUGUAUAUUCUGGAAUGAAUGAAAAGUAUUCACGCUCUCGAUCUUCUUCCGAAAAAGUAGUAUAAACUUCUUGGAAAAAAGUAGCAAAAAGUUUGCAGAUUUUUUCCGAGUUGUCACCUGUUUUUUCGUCAAGUUGCAUUUUCGAAGGAAAGUUGUCUGAUUUUAGUUUGGUAUUCACGAGAUGAUAAAAAUUUUUUGGGCAUGACUUUAUUUCGAGCUCCGUUUUUGUAUUGUAUUCUUCGAACGCAAAAUUAAUGGCCAGAUUUAAUUGAUCGCAUAUAUUUAAGUAGUUUGAUAAAUUUUCAUUGUUGCUAUUUUUCUUAUAAAUUUUGUGAGCUUUCUGCUUACGAUUUUUUAAAUUUUUUAUUUCUUUAUUGAACUAUACAGGAUGUUUUGAGUUGCCAUGACGUCUUUUCUUUUUAAUUGGUACUUCAGUCUGUAUUAUCCCAAACAUUUUCUCGUCAACUGCAACAUCGAUAUUUUCUUCAUGUCUUAAUAGCGUUUGCCAAUCAAUAUCAGUAAGUUUUUUCCUCAAGCUUUCAUAGUUAACAGAACGAUAGUCAAAAACUUCUUCAAAUUCACAAUCAUCAGGUCUGUUGUUGGCAUAUACGAAUAUAGAAAAUUCAAGAGCUGUGUGGAAAACUUCAUUUUUCCAUAAUGGGGUCAGUGAUUCUGCCACACAAAAAUCUUCAUCAAUAUUUGUCAUUAAUAAAUCUAAAAAACAAUCUUGCUGAUUUCUCACAUGAUUUAUAUGAUUAAGUCCAAGGCUUGCUGAUUUAUCACAAAUGAACUGCAGCGUUUCGUUUUCACCAACAGUUGGGAGCAAAAUGCUCUCAUUGUCAACAUCUGCAAUAAAGUCAAUGUCACGCUGAUUAAAAUCGCCAUAAAUGUGUACUUUUACUUCCGGGGGUAAGCCACUAAUAAUAUUUUCUGCAGUAUUGAAAAACUUUUCAUAUGUUGGUGUCCUGGCAUUAUCCGGAGGAAAAUAAACGGAAACAAAAAUAUGCGUUUCGCCAGCAAUGUAGACUUUAACCCACGCAUGCUCAAACUCUUUGUAUUUUGUGGUUGGGAUGAUUUCAGCAUUUAAAUUUGCAGAGACUGCAAUUAAAACUGCAUGGGCUUUCUGCACCGAAGGCUUGUUGGGCACAGACACGGACUUAACAGGAACCGAGGAUGACUUCGCCCUCUACAGGAUGAAGGUCUGCUCCUUUAGGAACGUCAGCAUCUCGUCGUAAUCGGGAAGCUCACCGUGAUUAAUGGUGGACUCCCACAUAUGACGCACGUCGUUGUGCAAUGCUGUCGCCAGUAAAUGGAUCAUGAAAUCCUCUCCUACUACAUCGAAAUCUCGCUCUUGGAACAUGAGACCUUCCACAUGCUUGCUACACUCGUCGACCAGACUACGCAGCUCCAAAUGGCUCUUCUUCGUCAUGCGCUUGAGAUUCAGAAGGCCAUGAAUAUGAGAGUCGAUAGCGUGUGUAACCUGUGGUUACAAUUUUGUGUACUUUAAAAUUUAAAUUAAAUUAAAAAAAAUUAAAAAAAAAAAACUUUAAAACCACCGUUUUGCAGCAAGGGCCCCAACGAGUCGACCA